UUAUUGCCUAUGUAAUAGAUGCGAAACCAAUAUGUGACGAUGUUGCAAUCUGUGUUAAAACGGUUUUAGUGAGGACAGGAGAUAAUAUGUGACUAGAUAGAAGGAUUCAAAUUGAAAGAAAUAGUGUUUCACCGACUUUUUGAAAAUUGGAAGGGAUUCAACGCGUCUGAUGGGCAAAAGAAGGGAGUUCCAAAGCCGAGCAGCUUGG
rnacentral:misc_RNA from 1 species